AGGGGACAGUUGUGCUUUAAUGGAAUAGUCCUGGUGAAUUUCACAGAUUUCCUAAGUGAUUCUUAGAACCUUUUGAACUUUGGCACAAUUUCCUUUAACAUAUAAGACCUUCAAUUUGAAAAAAACAUUUUGCUGCUACGGUGUCUGAUAGUAUGGAAGUUCUCAGCUCACCUAAGUAACUGGCUAGAUUCAUAGAACACUACAGCAUUGCUGUGGUAAUUACAAAGUACUUGCACUACAACACAUUACGCUGUACUUAAAGCUUAAAGAAACCACUAUAGUCACCUAAAUUACUUUAGCUAAAUAAAGCAGUUUUAGUGUAUAGAUCAUUCCCCUGCAAUUUCACUGCUCAAUUCACUGUCAUUUAGGAGUUAAAUCACUUUGUUUCUGUUUAUGCAGCCCUAGCC